GAUGAAGAACGUAGCGAAAUGCGAUAAGUAAUGUGAAUUGCAGAAUUCAGUGAAUCAUCGAAUCUUUGAACGCACAUUGCGCCCAUCAGUAUUCUGUUGGGCAUGCCUGUCCGAGCGUCAUUUCAACCCUCAGGGCCCGUUCGCGGGAACUGGUGUUGGGGAUCGGCCUCCCCCCGGAGGCCGGCCCCGAAAUGCAGUGGCGGCUCUACCGCGAUCUCCUCUGUGUAGUAGCGAUACCUCGCAGCUGGAUAGUGGUGGUGCCACGCCGUAAAAUCCCAACUUUACCAAGGUUGACCUCGGAUCAGGUAGGAAUAUCCGCUGAACUUAAGCAUAUCAAUAAGCGGAGGA
rnacentral:misc_RNA from 1 species